ACUCGCAAAAAGCCCAACUGUCUGCCCAACAUGCUGUCUAACAAACCACCCAAAACAUUUGACUCCAGCUAGUAGAUGCGAUCGAACUCCGCCCAAUCGACGCAAUAUACAAAGUACUGUGAAGGAAGAAUGAAAAAUAGUGAAAUCGUCAGUACAACAAAGCAGGGACCAAAACUCAUACCUUUUGCAUUAUGGUCUAGCAAGAAGACCAGACAAAGUGACCCUACAGCCUCAAACCCCGAACACAAGUGAUCUACUUCCUGGCAGUUGUAUCGAACAAACUCGUCUCUGUAGCAAUAGGGUGAGAAGACCAGAAGUAGCGGCCAAAACCAACGAACUUGUUGAUAGCUGGUUAUCCGACAAAUGAAUCCAAGUUCACACCCGACAACCAAAUAAUCAAUCUAAUGAUAAAAUUUUUAUGUCAGGUAAUAGUCGAUGAGGGCACAGCCCCAUCGACAUGGGAUACAGCCCACUGUAGAGAGAAACCAAAAAUCACCCGGACCAGUAGGCCUUUAGACAGCCAACAAUAAAUAUCGCGUCACAGUAAUUUACCUUAAAAUACCACCAAAAACAAAUUUCUCCCACACACCAACCGGAUAAUUCUACAAAUCUGUAGAAGAACUUAUGCUAGAAUAAGUAAUCAAGAAUCCUCUUCUAAAGACAGAAAUUAAAAUAGUACACUAUACCCAACAGACCAAAAAAGGAACAAUGCCCCACAUUAAACAAUACAUUAAAACACACUGUUCACCCAACACAGGACUGUCCACCAAUAGGCUUAAAAUCUUAAAAGGAACUCGGCAACCCCCUUCUCCAACUGUUUACCAAAAACAUAGCUUCUAGCUUAACCCAAUAUUAGAAGUAACGCCUGCCCUGUGGAGACCCUAAACGGCCGCGGCACUAAAACCGUGCAAAGGUAGCACAAUCACUUGUCCCUUAAAUGAGGACCCGUAUGAAAGGCAACAUGAGAGAAGACCUGUCUCCUAAGAUCCGCCAGUGAAAUUGAACUACCAGUACAAAAGCUGGUAUUAACAAGCAAGACAAAAAGACCCUGUGGAGCUUUAACAAGUUGUUUAUUUAAAAUUAAACAAUAGUUUCAGUUGGGACAACUCUAGAGAAAAUAAACCUCUUAAACUACUAAGACUAACAAGUCUAAAACUAAACUACGACCCAGUCAUACUGAAUAACGAAACAAGCUACCCCAGGGAUAACAGCGCCACCUUCUCAAAGAGUCCAUAUCAACAAGAAGAUCUACGACCUCGAUGUUGGAUCAGGGUACCCUGACGGUGCAACCGCUAUCAAUGGUUCGUUUGUUCAACGACUAACACCCUACGUGAUCUGAGUUCAGACCGGAGCAAUCCAGGUCGGCCUUUAUCUGCUAACCCGCCUCUACUAGUACGAAAGGACCGUAAAGACAAGACUAAUGCUUACAGCACAUCUUUUAAAAAUAAUGAACUAAACUCAAAUAUUUCAACACCGAUCUAACCUAAAACAAAGACCCAUAAAACCGGCGCCACCCGGACCUAU
rnacentral:rRNA from 1 species